rnacentral:rRNA from 1 species
CUACGGGUGGCUCCAGUGGGGAAUUUUGCGCAAUGGGCGAAAGCCUGACGCAGCAAUACCGCGUGAGUGAAGAAGGCCUUUGGGUCGUAAAGCUCUUUUCUGGGGGAAGAUAGUGACGGUACCCCAGGAAUAAGCACCAGCUAACUCCGUGCCAGCAGCCGCGGUAAUACGGAGGGUGCAAGCGUUGUUCGGAUUUACUGGGCGUAAAGGGCACGUAGGCGGCACAGCAAGUUAAGGGUGAAAUCCCGGGGCUCAACUCCGGAACUGCUCUUAAAACUGCUGAGCUAGAGAUAGUCAGAGGCGGGUGGAAUUCCUGGUGUAGAGGUGAAAUUCGUAGAUAUCAGGAGGAACACCGGUGGCGAAGGCGGCCCGCUGGGGCUAUUCUGACGCUAAGGUGCGAAAGCGUGGGGAGCGAACGGGAUUAGAUACCCGAGUGUC